ACUAAGGCGAAGGGUGAGUUUGUGUGGCUGGAGGUCCUGCCACUCCCGGCGUGGUACCGGGGGGGCUCCCCCCACUCCGCUCCCCCGCCUGGGCCGCAGCCGGCCGGCUGAGCGCGAGGACACGCCCGGGAGGCGGCCGGGUCCGGGCGAGGAGCGCUGCGGGCAGAGCCGCGGGGCGGGGCAGCGAAUGGCCGGUGUUCGCUCCACCGGAGCCGGGAGCCGGCGGGGGGCAGCGCUCCGCGGGCACCAGCCGCCAGAGGGAGCGUGUUGGCCCGGGCGGGGCGGGUCACGGUGCUGCAGGGAGCGGAGGGACCGGCCCCGCAAGGCUCAUUCCCUGUCGGUGUCUGUCUCAGGUCGGGGGAUGUAGCCCGCCCCGUCCCUGGAGCCGCUGCCUGAUAACGGGACUGCAGGGAGCUGUGCUGGAGGCAGGGAGGGCAGAGAUUGGAGUUGAGAAUGAGAUGAGCCAGUCAUGAAGGACUAUAAGAACAUGGUAUACUUACAUCCACAAUAAGCCAUAUAUAAGCCCCGUGUAAGAAACCACAUGAUGGAGGUGAAGGUGGUUUGGGAGUCCGAUAAUGACACUUAUGACACAGGUGAGGAGCAUUCAGAUGACUCCAGUCAUUCCUCUGAGCGGGUUGGUCGCAAAUCUAGUCUCCAGCUGGAGUUAGACUUAGACUAUUCUCAACCAUGCAGUCCUGGUUGUAGCGCUGCUGGACCUUCAGGUAGGCAAGAACUCCCUGUAGAAUUGCAGUGUGAAGACGAGGAAACCUAUGAGACCUACUACCAGAAGCAAGGUGAGACUACAGCUGGGGUCUUUGUCACUUCCAACACCAACUUUGACCUGCAAUGUGAAGAUGAGGAUCUGGAGUUCUAUUCCUCUGAGGAACCUCAGGGAGGAUUAAGUGAGGAUGAUGAAAACAUCAUUCUUGUUGAUGCUUUUGAUGAGGAGGACCUGGAGCCCAUCUCUGGAGAAGCUUUGCCUUAUACGUGCAAGAAGUGUGGUGUCUCUUUUCAGGAUCUGGGUGAAUUACAAGAACACAACCAGAUCCACCUGACAGAGAAUUCAUACCGAUGCCCCAUCUGUGGCAAAGAGUUCUUCCAUGCGGCGAACUUGCGAAUGCACAAGCUCAUUCAUUCUAGUGACAGACCACACAAGUGUCCAGAGUGUGACAAGGGUUUCAUCUGUACAGCUGAUAUUUGGAGGCACCUACGCAAUGUGCACAAGAUUGAGCGCUCCAAGGGUGUUUUGGGAAAUGGCAUGGUUAGGAACCCAUGGUCAACAUUGCACCAAAACAAGCAUGGCAGUGGGGACGCUGACCAGCAGUGUUCAGAAAAUAAAAAGCCCGUGGGAGAAGAGUCUAAACCUUACAUCUGCUCGACAUGUGGCAAAGGUUUCCGUAAACCUAAUUUGCUGUCCAGACACAAGGUGAUCCACCGACAGGACAAACCACAUAAAUGUCAAGAAUGUGGGAAGUCCUUUGUUGAGCGGCUCAAGUUGAAAAGGCACCAGCAGAUUCACUCUGGAGAGCGCCCUUUCUACUGUGAGGAAUGUGGAAGGACUUUUACACAGCUGGUGACACUACAGUGCCAUCAGCGGACCCAUACUGGAGAAAAACCCUAUUCUUGUGCUUACUGUGGUCGUUGCUUCACAGUGUCUGCCACUCUAAGGAAGCAUGAGCGCACACAUAAAGUGGACAAAUCGUAGUAUUUAGGGCUCCAUGGUUGUGGUCACCGUUGUUUCCUGUUACCUGAACGAGACCUGCUCAAGACUGCUAGAGAAACUACCCCAACCUACACACACAGGUCAGUCCACAGUCCACAGCCCCCUUCUCCAACGACGGCCAGCAUAACUCUAAUAAGAAAACAUUGCCUCAUGAGGAACUCCAUGAUCUCCACAAGUAGUCUUUGUUGACUGGCACUGCACCUGUCCUCUGGAGUUACAAGAGGAAAAAGCUCCAUUUCCAUUAAAUAAUGAGGUCAGUGAAGUCAAAGGAUAUAUAUACGGAAGUGAAGUUUCUGGAAGGUACAGGGCAUUGUCAUAACUAGCUGGACUUUUCUGUGGGUGCAUCGAGUUGAGCUUUUUUCUAGGACUGAUGGGUUAAAUGGAGCCCUUCUGGAGUCCUGGACUCUGAACUGAUUGUGACUGCUCUCCAGCACUUGAUUUGGAGAUAUGUCUUUUUUUGCCUUUGCAAGGACUGCACAGUUCGUUUAAUCAGAGCUGGCCCAUCCGUACCUUCUCCCUGUUUAUUCUGUCAUGUUUUCUAAUGAAGUAUCUUUAUUUUGAAGAGAGGGAUCAUGUUGUUUGUAAAAAUCCAGGACUUUAUUAAACUGGAUAAUUAAUUCAGUUGCAUCCUUUAUGCAUGCACUUGCCUAUGGAUUUAUUGAUCUUUGAUGUGCUUACAUAACCCAUGUCCUAUAUAUGUAUAUUGAUAAACGGAGAGAGUGUUGUAUGGCUCACUGUGAUAGUGCAUAUGAAUAUGGUGGGUUGCCUGUAUGGAUUUGUGCCACUUGUGGCUAGGUGGAGAGCCUUUCCUCUUCCCAGCCACUGCAUUACAGUAAGAAAUGUCAGAAAGUUUAAAAUCAGAAAAUGCUAAUAAAAAUAAGGAGAAUACUCCUGAUUUUUACACUGUUAAUAUUUAGAUUUAAGGUUCCUCACUCUAGAAGAUGCAAUAUGCUAAGCAGUAUCUGUCUUUAUUAGAAAUUCUAGGGCACUUUUAAAGGGAUGGUGUCAACUUAAUUUUCUUUUCUAAACUGACUAAUUAGCCCCCCUUGCCAAAUUUUCAGCUACUGAACCCUUAAAAUAGCAUGCCUUUUAAAGUUUUUUAACAUGUUUUAAAUGUGGUUUCUGGUUUGCUAUGUGUUGGGGGGCGGUCCCAGAAGGGUCUUUUGGGUUGGCCUAAGAGGAACACCUCUCCUCCUGUAUCCUUUUACUUCACUUGUGUGCUGAUUGUUCUCUUUUUUUCAUUUCAGCUCUGCUUCUGCUGUUACUGCUAACCACCCAUUUUUUUUCAAAUUUCUGAGAAUGUUGUUCACAAAAACAGUGAACCUGACUCUCUCUACUUUGGGCAUUUGACAACACUUUGUGUAAACUAAACAAGUGUGAACAAUCAUUUUUAAGUCCUAUAAAUCUUGGGAGUUACUUGUAACUACAUACAGCAGUAGGAAGCCUGCCAAACAAUCGGUGAGCCCACUGGACAAUUUUGGUGCUUAAGGAACACUCAAGGAAGAUAAGGCCAUUGUGGAUAAGCUACAUGAAUUCUUUGCAUUGGUCUUCACUGCAGAGAAUGUUUAGGUGACAAAUCCGAGGAACUGUCCUGGCUUGACGUGUCAAUAGAGGAGGUUUGGGAACAAAUUGAUAAACAGUAAUAAGUCCUCAAGACCAGAUGGUAUUCACCAAAGAGUUCUGAAGAAACUCAAAUAUGAAAUAGCAGAACUACUGCAGAAAUGUGGGCUGUGAUUGGAGUUGAGAACGAGAUGAACCAAUCAUGAAGGACUAUAAGAACAUGGUAUACUUACAUCCACAGUAAGCCAUAUACACUCUCCAUAUAUGACACCACAGGAUGGACGAGGUGGACUGGGAGUCCGAUAACGACACUUAUGACACAGGUGAGGAGCAUUCAGAUGACUCCAGUCAUUCCUCUGAGCGGGUGGGUCGCAAAUCUAGUCUCCAGUUGGAGGUAGACAUAGACUACUCUCAACCAUGCAGUCCUGGUUGUAGCCCUGCUGGACCUUCAGGUAAGCAAGAACUCCCUGUAGAAUUGCAGUGUGAAGAUGAGGAAACCUAUGAGACCUACUACCAGAAGCGAGGUGAGACUACAGCUGGGGUCUUUGUCACUUCCAACACCAACUUUGACCUUCAAUGUGAAGAUGAGGAUCUGGAGUUCUACUCCUCUGAGGAACCUCAGGGAGGAUUAAGUGAGGAUGAUGAAAACAUCAUUCUUGUUGAUGCUUUUGAUGAGGAGGACCUGGAGCCCAUCUCUGGAGAAGCUUUGCCUUAUAGGUGCAAGAAGUGUGGUGUCUCUUUCCAGGAUCUGGGUGAAUUACAAGAACACAAACAUAUCCAUCUGACAGAGCAUUCAUACCAAUGCCCCAUCUGUGGCAAAGAGUUCUUCCGUGCUGCAAACUUGCGAAUGCACAAGCUCAUUCAUUCUAGUGACAGGCCACACAAGUGUCCAGAGUGUGACAAGGGUUUCAUCCGCACGGCUGAUGUCUGGAGGCACCUACGCAAUGUGCACAAAAUUGAGCGCUCCAAGGUAGUUUUGGGAAAUGGCAUGGUUAGGAACCCAUGGUCAAUAUUGCACCAAAACAAGCAUGGCAGUGGAAACACUGACCAGCAGUGUUCAGAAAAUAAAAAGCCUGGGGAAGAAGAGUCUAAACCUUACAUUUGUCCAAUGUGUGGCAAAGGUUUCCGUAAACCUAAUCUGCUGUCGAAACACAAAGUGAUCCAUCGAGAGGACAAACCAUAUAAAUGUCAAGAAUGUGGUAUGGCCUUUGUCCAACUACUGAGGUUGAAACGGCACCAACAGACUCACUCUGGAGAGCGCCCUUUCUAUUGUGAAGAGUGCGGAGGGACCUUCACAAGACUGGCAUCACUACAGCGCCAUCAGCGGAUCCAUACUGGAGAAAAACCCUACUCUUGUGCUUACUGCGGUCAUUCCUUCACAGAGUCAGGCACUCUAAGGAGGCAUGAGCGCACACAUAAAGUGGACAAAUCUUAGUGUUUAGGGCUCUAUGAUUGUGGUCACCAUUCUUUGCCUGUCACUAGAACAAGAACUGUUCAGUUAUCCUAGAGAGAUUGCUCCCAGCCCCCCCCCCCCCCACACACACAAACUGGUCCACAACUCUCUUCCUGAAGGAGGGCCAGUAUAAGUCUAUUAUGGAGAUAUUGCCUUGUAAGGAACUCCGUGAUCCCUGCAGGUAGUCAAUACUGACCGGCCUGGCACCUGUCCUGUGGAGUUACAAUAGGAAAAAGCUCCAUGUCCAUUAAAUAAUGAGGUCAGAGAAGUCAAAGGACAUAUAUGGAAGUGAAGCUCCUACAAGGUAGUGAGCAUUGUCAUAACUAGCUGGACUUUUCUUGGGGUGCAUUAAGUUGAGCUUUUCUCUAGGCCUGGUGUGUAAAAUGGAGCCCUACUGCAGUCCUGGGCUGAACUGAUUGUGACUGCUCUUCAGCACUGGAUUUGGAGAUCUCUCAUUGCAGUCUUUGCAAGGACUGCACAGUCCAUUUAGUCAGAGCUGGCCAAUCCAUACCUUCUCUCUGUGCAUUCUGUCAUGUUUUUAUUGAAGUAUGUUUGUUUGGGAGAGAAGUAUGUUGGCUGUAAAAAUCCAGAACCCUAAUAAAUUUGACAAUUAAUUAAA